GGUUUUGCUCUGCUUACUCUCCUUGCUUUGGGUUAUUUAAGGCCAUUCAUCUGCAUGGAAUAGGUUAUUAUGAGUGUUUUCUAGGCUUUGACUCUAUACUUCUGCCAAAGUAAAAUUAGCAUGUUCUAUUUCUCCACCCAAAUACCAAAGGACAAGUGUCCAACCUUUAGCCCUCGAUCUGAAGGGGGCUCUGAAUUUUGGAAGUGUCCCUCACACUACCAGUGAGCAGACUUGAAAUCCUGUGUCUGACCAGCUCCAGAUUUUCUGGGAUUUGAAAACUGAACUCCAGAUUUGAUAUUUGGCCUAGCUUCUUAAUGAAAAUGGAAAAUUGCAUUUCCUCAGCCUUCCUGAAGAGCAGCCCAUGAACCUGAUGAACUUGAGAUAAAAACAAGGGCUAGCAGGAUGCUAUGUCCCUCCUCUGACAGAGGUCAGCAGGAGUUUUGAGCAAGGUGGGACUGGCCCCUCUAGCUGGAAACUUCUUUAUUUGCCUCUGAGCUCCGCAGCCACUGGGGAUUGAGACCUACACAGGGGUGCGGUGGUGAGUGAGCCACUUCUUUUGCUCAGGAAAGGAUAUUUGUGAUGAGGGAAAUCACAGAUUUUAUGUGCUAACACUUCUUGAUCCUUCUUAAGCAAAAAGGGAACGUUUAGAAUGCCAAAAGCUCGUCUUAAUAUUUCACAGAGAGCCCAAAGAGACCUGGGUGCCAGGGCCCAUGGAAAUGUCUCUGCUUCACAAUGCCUUAGUGGUUGGGCACCUCAUUCUCCUCAUAUCCUGUCAGAAAAUUUUGUCUUUUUAGGGUUGUGGCACUAUCUAGUCUCCUGCUGUAAAGUUUGAUCCUGAUAAAGAAGGCAAAGCACAAACCCAGAUUUCCAGCCUGACACCGGUGAGAUUUCUCAGGCGCUUAUAUCAAAACAUAUUUUUAAAUCAAAAUUCACUCAAGUUAUAUUGCCUUUAUCUUCAGGGACGUUUAUACAUGUGAACACUCCUGGUACAAAGGGAUACUGGCACAUAGAGAAGGAUUUGGCAUCAUGAAAGCAAACAAGUACCAGUAGCCAAUCUUCAUUCUAUUGCUGCACUCAUGCAUGAUGAGCUCCAGGUUUGUCUCUUGCUUCCCUGCUCCCGAGGCUGCCCGGCUAUGAUCUGCUGUGCUGACCUUCCUAGCCAAGUCAUGGCUUUCUGGCUACCAAAUCCCAUCAGGAACUUCAUGUCUCUUGUGGUAGUCUUCAUCCAUGGCUAACUUGUAUUAUCAUUGGCACGCUUAAAAUUGUGAUGUUAUGUUUCAAAUGUUUUUAAAGCUGAAACACACAAGCUCUUUUAUUUCUCUUCUGCCUUGUAGGAUUAUUUUAGCUCUACGCAUGCAAAACCUCGUAUUAAG
rnacentral:lncRNA from 1 species